GAGGGUUGCCAAGCCGUAAGGUGGAGCUAAUCCCUUAAAGCUACUCUCAGUUCGGAUUGUAGGCUGAAACUCGCCUACAUGAAGCUGGAGUUACUAGUAAUCGCAGAUCAGAAUGCUGCGGUGAAUGCGUUCCCGGGUCUUGUACACCCCGCCCGUCACACCACGGGAGUUGGAGACGCCCGAAGCCGAUUAUCUAACCUUUUGGAAGAAGUCGUCGAAGGUGGAAUCAAUAACUGGGGUGAAGUCGUAA
rnacentral:rRNA from 1 species